UCCCUUAGAUGUUCUGGGCUGCACACGUGCUACACUGGCAGGUUCAGCGAGCUUCAUGCCCUGAUCUGAAAGGAAUGGGAAAUCUUUUCAAAACCUGCCGUGCUUGGGAUAGAUGUUUGCAAUUAUCCAUCUUCAACGAGGAUUGCCUUGUAAGCGCACAUCAUCAGCGUGCAUUGAAUACGACCCUGUAUUCUGUACACACCGCCCGUCGCUCCUACCGAUUGAAGUUUUCGGUGAGUUGACAGGAGGAUUUUUUUGAAACUGGUUCGCCAGUGGAUUUUAGAUCCAAAUGCCAACGAAUCGAUGGCUUUAGAGGAAGGAGAAGUCGUAACA
rnacentral:rRNA from 1 species